rnacentral:rRNA from 1 species
AGUGAACGCUGGCGGUAGGCCUAACACAUGCAAGUCGAACGGCAGCACAGUAAGAGCUUGCUCUUACGGGUGGCGGGUGGCGGACGUGUGAGGAGUACAUCGGAAUCUACUUUUUCGUGGGGGAUAACGUAGGGAAACUUACGCUAAUACCGCAUACGACCUACGGGUGAAAGCAGUGGAUCUUCGCACCUUGCGCGAUUGAAUGAGCCGCUGUCGGUUUAGCUAGUUGGCGGGGUAAAGGCCCACCAAGGCGACGUUCCGUAGCUGGUCUGAGAGGAGGGUCAGCCACACUGGAAAGGAGACACGGUCCAGACUCCUAAGGGAGGGAGCAGUGGGGAAUAUUGGACAAUGGGCGCAAGCCUGAUCCAGCCAGACCGCGUGGGUGAAGAAGGCCUUCGGGUUGUAAAGCCCUUUUGUUGGGAAAGAAAAGCAGCAGGUUAAUACCCCGCGGUUCUGACGGUAACCAAAGAAUAAGCACCGGCUAACUUCGUG